rnacentral:rRNA from 1 species
UUGAGCGCUGGCGGCAUGCCUUACACAUGCAAGUCGAACGGUAGAGGAGCAAUCCUCGAGAGUGGCGAACGGGUGAGUAAUGUAUCGGAACGUGCCCAGUAGUGGGGGAUAGCCCGGCGAAAGCCGGAUUAAUACCGCAUGAUACCUGAGGGUGAAAGCGGGGGACUCGCAAGAGCCUCGCGCUACUGGAGCGGCCGAUAUCAGAUUAGGUAGUUGGUGGGGUAAAAGCCUACCAAGCCUGCGAUCUGUAGCUGGUCUGAGAGGACGACCAGCCACACUGGGACUGAGACACGGCCCAGACUCCUACGGGAGGCAGCAGUGGGGAAUUUUGGACAAUGGGCGCAAGCCUGAUCCAGCCAUGCCGCGUGAGUGAAGAAGGCCUUCGGGUUGUAAAGCUCUUUCGGCAGGAACGAAAUGGUUCGUGCCAAUACCACGGACUGAUGACGGUACCUGAAGAAGAAGCACCGGCUAACUACGU